AAAAACAAAAAAAAAAAAAAAGAAAAUCGACCCUAGGAAAUUUCGCUCGAUGAGGGCGGCACAGGAGCGGCUUUGACACGGUACGGCACUAUCGACAUGCGCAGUAACGGUGGGGUGAAUAGGGGUGGUGGUUCGAGUGGUUGAUCGUCGUUGCCGCGGUUGGACAGAGAUAGGCUGCCCGGCCUGAUAUCUCGGGUGGAGUGGAGGGAGCUGGGUGGAAAUGGAGGGGGUACCGGCAGGUUAGUAGCGGAGGUACACGUUGUGGCAGCCGGCAGUAGCGAGAGCCGUGCUUGCCACGGCCCACACGGCGGCCUGUGCGUGUGCGUGUGCGUGUGCGUGGGUCAGCCUUGCCCCACAUUCAACCGUCGUAGUCGCGCGUCUUUCGGCGAGGUCGAGCCGGCGCGGCGUUCCACGUCGGUUGAGAAGCCACCACGUCGGGGGAUGCUAGUUGCGAGGAAGUGGCGGCGUCGAGCAGCGUCCUCCCGCCGGCUACUCGCGCGACGCCGCUCCGACAACGCCGGCAAGGCUUCCGUGUGAACGAACGACCUUCUUCCACGGCUUACCAUCGGCCGACGACAUUUCGUUUUCCCUCGCCGCCUGUGCGCACCGUGUGUUCAUCGAAAUCAUCGCGCGUGGCUCGUGCUCGAGUAUAAUCCAGUCCAGUGCGUGCGUGCGUGCGUGCGUACGUGCGUGUUGCGUGCCUGCCUGCCUGGCACACGCGCGCGCGUUAAUUCGCGUGUAUAUAGCAGGGAGGGACGAAAGGCGAGGUGAGACGUAAGUCGGCAUUACACGCAAUCGAAAGAGGUUCUUUGGGGCUGAUUGGCCCCGGCGCGCGAGUGUAAUCCGCUCGAGAGUAAUUCUUCCUUUUGGUUCGAUCGCGUGAUCGUGAUGUGAAUGUGCGGGGAAAUUUUGGUGCGAUAAUUUUGCCACGCAUCGAUCGUAGGUCGACUUGGUGAACGAGGUGACAUAUACGACGAAGAAGAAGUGUCUUAAAUUGGCGAAGAGCGAAUCAAGAGGCGGGCUGAGAGAGAAAGAGAAAGAGAGAGGAAAAGAAACAAGGAUGAAUAAUUAAACCGAACGAAUGGGAACAGGUUGACAUAUCGAUUGAAAGAAACGACGGAAUAGAUGAUAAUUAGAGAACGCUUAGAGAGGCUUGUCGAUAAAAUCAAUAUAGCGAGAUUAAAAAUAAAAUAAAAUAAAUAUAUAUAUAUGUACAUACAUAGAAAUAUAUUAAUAUAUGAUGUGAUUAAUUAUUAAGAAGAAAAUCUACUAAAAUAUAUGUCUUUGGAGAGAGAAAAAGAGAGAGAGAGAAAAAGAGAGAGAGAGAAAAAAAAUAUCAUUCAGAUCUAUUGUUUUAUCUGCUCGUUCGAGAAAUUCACACGUCUGAUAAGAAUAUUAUUAAGAAGAGAGGCGAGAAGACGUGGACGAAUAAGAGGGAGGAUACGAGGAACGACCAAAACGAAUGCUGUCAAUUAAUAUUCUAUAUUAUUCGUAUCACUUUCGGAUUUACGAUUUCGCCUAGUUCAAUUAUAUAUACAUAUAUAUAUAUAUGUAUACUGUUCUUUAACAAGACACGAGCGAGAUACCGUUUUUCUCUUUAAUCAUUCUUCGAAUUCUACCUCCAGGUUAAGAAUAUAAAUUUAAAAGAAAUAGAGGGAGAGAAAGGAAUAUAUAAAGCCACGACAACGAAAAAGAAAAAGAAGAAGAGGAAGAAGAAGAGGAAGAAAAGAAAGAAGAUAAGAAUCCAUGCGGAGAGAGGGGAAAAUAGAGGACGUGAAACGGCCUACAAACGUAUCUAGAUAUAUAGUUCGCGACACGGGUCCUCGAGUGGACCUUUCACAAUGGUUGUACCUGGUUUAAUCUGCAGUUAAGACUUCGUCGUUCAGAACGGAAGCCAUGCUCGCUUCCGUGCCAUUACCAAGAUAGAGAAAGCGG
rnacentral:misc_RNA from 1 species